rnacentral:rRNA from 1 species
AACGAACGCUGGCGGCGCGCCUAAUACAUGCAAGUCGAACGAGAAGCUGUAGCAAUACAGUUGUACAGUGGCGAACGGGUGAGGAAUACAUGGGUGACCUACCCUCGAGUGGGGAAUAACCAGCCGAAAGGUGGCUAAUACCGCGUACGCUUCCCAGUCUACGGGUUGGGAAGGAAAGCGAUGCCGUGGGUAUCGCGCUCAAGGUUGGGCUCAUGUCCUAUCAGCUGUUGGUGGGGUAACGGCUCACCAAGGCAACGACGGGUAGCUGGUCUGAGAGGACGAUCAGCCACACUGGCACUGCGACACGGGCCAGACUCCUACGGGAGGCAGCAGUAAGGAAUAUUGCGCAAUGGGCGAAAGCCUGACGCAGCGACGCCGCGUGGGGGAUGAAGGUCUUCGGAUUGUAAACCCCUUUCGGGAGGGAAGAUGGAACGAGCAAUCGUUCGGACGGUACCUCCAGAAGCAGCCACGGCUAACUUCGUGCCAGCAGCCGC